GAUGAACGCUGGCGGUGUGCCUAAUACAUGCAAGUCGAGCGAACAGACGAGGAGUUUUCUCCUCUGACGUUAGCGGCGGACGGGUGAGUAACACGUGGAUAACCUACCUAUAAGACUGGGAUAACUUCGGGAAACCGGAGCUAAUAACGGAUAACAUGUAGAACCGCAUGGUUCAACAGUGAAAGACGGUCUUGGUGUCACAUAUAGAUGGAUCCGCGUCGCAUUAGCUAGUUGGUAAGGUAACGGCUUACCAAGGCAACGAUGCGUAGCCGACCUGAGAGGGUGAUCGGCCACACUGGAACUGAGACACGGUCCAGACUCCUACGGGAGGCAGCAGUAGGGAAUCUUCCGCAAUGGGCGAAAGCCUGACGGAGCAACGCCGCGUGAGUGAAGAAGGUCUUCGGAUCGUAAAGCUCUGUUAUUAGGGAAGAACAGAUGUGUAAGUAACUGUGCACGUCUUGACGGUACCUAAUCAGAAAGCCACGGCUAACUACGUG
rnacentral:rRNA from 1 species